rnacentral:rRNA from 1 species
CACGUAGGGGGCGAGCGUUGUCCGGAUUUACUGGGCGUAAAGGGCGCGUAGGCGGUCAGCACAAGUCAGUUGUGAAAUCUCCGGGCUUAACUCGGAAAGGUCAACUGAUACUGUGCGACUAGAGUGCAGAAGGGGCAACUGGAAUUCUCGGUGUAGCGGUGAAAUGCGUAGAUAUCGAGAGGAACACCUGCGGCGAAGGCGGGUUGCUGGGCUGACACUGACGCUGAGGCGCGAAAGCGUGGGGAGCAAACAGG